UACGUAGGGGGCAAGCGUUGUCCGGAUUUAUUGGGCGUAAAGAGCGUGUAGGCGGCCAAGCAGGUCCGCUGUGAAAACUCGAGGCUCAACCUCGAGACGUCGGUGGAAACCGUUUGGCUAGAGUUCGGAAGAGGAGAGUGGAAUUCCCGGUGUAGCGGUGAAAUGCGCAGAUAUCGGGAAGAACACCCGUGGCGAAGGCGGCUCUCUGGGACGGUACUGACGCUGAGACGCGAAAGCGUGGGGAGCGAACAGG
rnacentral:rRNA from 1 species